rnacentral:rRNA from 1 species
CCUACGGGAGGCAGCAGUGGGGAAUAUUGCGCAAUGGGCGAAAGCCUGACGGAGCGACGCCGCGUGAGGGAUGAAGGUUUUCGGAUCGUAAAGCUCUGUUAGCAGGGAAGAACGGUCACUGUGCUAAUCAGCAGUGAAUUGACGGUACCUGCAAAGGAAGCACCGGCUAACUCCGUGCCAGCAGCCGCGGUAAUACGGAGGGUGCGAGCGUUAAUCGGAAUUACUGGGCGUAAAGCGCUCGUAGGCGGUAUGACAAGUCAAGGGUGAACUCCCCGCGCUCAACGUGGGAACUGCCUUUGAAACUGGCGAACUGGAGUGUGGGAGAGGAUAGUGGAAUUCCAGGUGUAGGUGUGAAAUCCGUAGAUAUCUGGAGGAACAUCAGUGGCGAAGGCGACUCUCUGGCACGCAACUGACGCUGAGGAGCGAAAGCGUGGGUAGCAAACAGGAUUAGAUACCCCAGUAGUC